rnacentral:misc_RNA from 1 species
UCUCCGUAGGUGAACCUGCGGAGGGAUCAUUAUAGAGUUCUUGCACUACAGGGUAGGUCUCCCAUCCUAUGUCAAUGUACCUUUGUUGCUUUGGCAAGCCUGCAAGGCUUGGGUCUAGCCACCGGCGUUAGCGGGUGAGAGCUUGCCAGAGGACCCUCAAACUCUGAAUGUUAGUGUCGUCUUAGUACUAUAUAAUAGUUAAAACUUUCAACAACGGAUCUCUUGGUUCUG